rnacentral:rRNA from 1 species
GACGAACGCUGGCGGCGUGCUUAACACAUGCAAGUCGAACGGAAAGGCCUCUUUCGGGGGGUACUCGAGUGGCGAACGGGUGAGUAACACGUGAGUAACCUGCCCUUGACUUUGGGAUAACUUCAGGAAACUGGGGCUAAUACCGGAUAGGAGCUCCUGCUGCAUGGUGGGGGUUGGAAAGUUUCGGCGGUUGGGGAUGGACUCGCGGCUUAUCAGCUUGUUGGUGGGGUAGUGGCUUACCAAGGCGUUGACGGGUAGCCGGCCUGAGAGGGUGACCGGCCACAUUGGGAAUGGGACUAGGCCCAGACGCCGACGGGAAGCAGCAGUGGGGGAUGUUGCACUAAUGGUGGAAGCCUGAUGCAGCAACGCCGGGUGCGGGAGGACGGCCUUCGGGUUGUAAACCGCGUUCGCUCAUGACGAAGCUUUGUGUGACGGUAGUGGGUGAAGAAGCACCGGCUAACUACGUG